AUCUGGCUCCCCGGGGUGGUGCGGAACGCCCCGGCGAGCGAGCCGUUGUGGAGAAAACCGUUGACUUCGGCGUGGAAAAGUCGUCACCACCGGACUGCGCCUGUUGACUAGAAUCAGAAUUUAUUGGUUGAGGAUGAAGCCCAAAGAACUUACGAGAGGAAAACGGGCCCCACCUUCCAAUCGAUGCCACAGCAGAGGAG
rnacentral:lncRNA from 1 species